CUGUUUGGUGGUGAAACAGCAUCCAAGAUGCUUGAAAAGUGGGACACGGCAUUCAAGUACAAGGUUAUCAAAGAGGCCAAACAACUGACUCAGUCAAAAGAGCUGUGCCGACUUCUGAAUGCUGCUGAGAAACCUACGGAGAAUGAUGACACUAGUAAGCUGGGACAGUGACAUGGCUUCUCUGCUGCUGCUCCUUCAUCUCUUGCCACCCACAGCUGGACGGAAGAGGAGCAAAAUCAGUGCCAGUGAUGCAGUGGAAAAAAUGGUUCACUUUCACAAGUCGUGCUGCAGCAUUGAUGAACACCUGCGUGGGAGAAAGGGUCAACAACCGUACAUCCUUGCUGCUGGUCGCACCCAGAAC